UACGUAGGGUGCGAGCGUUAAUCGGAAUUACUGGGCGUAAAGCGUGCGCAGGCGGUUUUGUAAGACAGGCGUGAAAUCCCCGGGCUCAACCUGGGAAUGGCGCUUGUGACUGCAAAGCUAGAGUGCGGCAGAGGGGGGAUGGAAUUCCGCGUGUAGCAGUGAAAUGCGUAGAUAUGCGGAGGAACACCGAUGGCGAAGGCAAUCCCCUGGGCCUGCACUGACGCUCAUGCACGAAAGCGUGGGGAGCAACAG
rnacentral:rRNA from 1 species